AAAAAAAAACUUGUAAAAAAAAAAAGUUGUAAUGCAUGUUCAAGCGCAGGCACUAGGACAACAUCGGUUGGACUAAAUUGUGACACCUAGUGGUCGGAUUUAUUACUACGCCAUGUGUGUCCAUCCUCGAGGCCAUAUUUUGAAACAAUUUUAAUUUUCAAUUCAAUGGUUCAGCGAGAGAUUCCAGACGUUGCCAUAUCGUCGGUGGAAUAACUGAGAAGUCAAUGGCGGGGAAACAACCCAAAAUAUCGGGCUUCUUUCAGCCGAGGAGUCGCUCGACUUCACCGAGGCCUACACUAUCUGACAGUGCUGUGUCACCACCUCAGCCCCAGCCCCAGCCCCAAACAUCCAAGCACCGGGCUAGUGGGUGGAACCCGGAGUGGGCUGUGGACAGCAAAUAUUCCGGUUGGCUAUAGGCUACCACACUGAACAUGGGAUGUUUUGCAGAUUGUGCCGGGCAAAUCGGCAGCGAGCUACACGGGGUGCAUCGGAGCGCUCGUUUAUAGAGGUGCCCUGCACCAAUUACAGGAGGGACGCGCUGGACCAGCAUAUGAGCACCGCGAGUCACUCCUCAUCCGUUGCUGCCCAGUCAAGUCGAUGUACGUCUUUCUGAAAAC